AGCAAAUACCUUUUCUGUUUGGGUUUUGCUUUUAGAAAAAAAAUGUGGCAUACGGUGGUGGCUUUCCCCCUCACUGAAAGAAAAAAGGUAGUAACUCUACUGGUGCACUCCUCUGAGUUGUGCUAACCAAGAAGAAUGCUGAAAGAAAAGGGAAAUGAACACCAUUUUCAGGCAGCUUCUCCAAGUUUGUUUUGACAGUGUUAUAGUUUUCCUUUAGCGACUGUUGAAGCAAAUACCUGUAUUUAUGUUCAGAUUAAACUGAGAGAGCAAAGACUGCUAGAUCCUGUAAUUUCUGGGCUGCAAAUGCAGGAUAGCUGCAAUGAAUUUCAGAUUCUUAAAGUUUUUUGCUGUAGUGAAUUCAUGACACAAAGCAUUUGGAGGGAAACCUAUUAGAGAAGAAACACAUCCUAAAUGAGAAUUACUGAGGACGGCAGGCUCUUGUCAUUUAGUGGACUAGUUAUAGCACUGUACAUGAGCCUGUAAUAUUUGUUCUCCUACUGUGGUGUGACUGGUAAAAUGAAAAGGUAUAUCAGGGGAGUGCUUGACCGACGUUCUUAUUUCUUCCAUCUUCUUAUAUUGCUGGGAGGAUUCUACCACUGCAGGGCUGGAAAUUAAUAUCACACUCAUUUGAUAUGAAGAGCAAAAGCAAGGUUAUGAGUCAGAGACAUUUUGGUCCCAGAACAAUAACUCUAUUGAUUGAGUCAAAUGUGUUUAACUCCAACAGCAAGACCUUCCAUCUGCGUGAAAUAAUCUUGUCUGUUCAUUGUAAACAGGAGCAUCUUCGAAAGCUGAGCUAGAGGCAGAGCAACUGGUAAACCAGAUGUCCCAAAUUUCUAGGUUUAUACAUUGUAAUUGUUCUAGACUUGUGUGUGGAUAUUGGUAAAAUGACAUGGUUAGAUAUCUCACAGAUUUUGUGAGAUAUGUCCAAAGUUCCCAAGUUAAUGUAUUACUGAAGUUAGAAUUUCACUUAUUGCGAGAUUGGAAUGCCAGCGAGCUACUGAACCAUAUGUGUGCCUAGGGGCCAUUUUGAGACAAUUUGCUGAAUAUUAAAAGUACAACCGAUAAUGUUUCUCUCCACAUCCACAAUAGCGCUUAGAGGAAGCAUCUGGGAUUGAGCCAUCUCACAUCUGUCUAAUCACAUUCAUUCAAAUGUGAUGGGCCCAACUGGCCUACGGUCAUGGCUGCAUAUCACCAUGGGAGGAAAUUAAAUCAGAAUUUGGCUCAGGAGAGAGAUGAAGAGAAAAUGCACAUAGAUAAUUGGCUCAGAUAACAUUCUGUUUCUAGAAGUCACAAAGAGUGGGAAUUGGAAUGUGUAAAUUAAAGAAAAACAGUCCUUAAGAUCAAGUCCACAAUGGAAGAAGAACAUUCAUUUGGUACAAGUUGAUGAUUGAGUAAGCCCAAGGAGUGAUGUCAACACUAGGGUUCACCUGAGAACAUGGACACGACUGAUGAGGGUUUAGGAGAUGCUCAUAUGAGGUCUUCGUAUGUUCCCUGGAUCCUAGCUCUGCCUUCCCACCAGAGAGGAUGUAAUUCAGCUGAGAUGUCCCAGAGUCAGCUCUGCUCAUAUCUGCUCCGCACUGAAGCCAAUCAUCUGAGAAACCCAAGAGGUGUUUAAUGCAGUUACGAAAGUGAGGGAUGGAGACCAUAAAUUCCUUUUCAUGUAGCAGAGUAUAUAUGUGAUACUCAUUCUGUGGUAUUUGGGGCAUAAACAAGAGUAGAUGAAGGAAUGUGAAGGUACUCCAAACCUUGACUUUUAUCUCUAUAAAAAUGGCGUAGGGACGGCACACACCUGAUUGUUAUGACUGUACUCUUUUCAGAUUUACUACCUGCCUUUCUACUGGUUUUUCUGUGUCACAGGUCUUGACUCCUGCAGGCUAAAUUUCUCAGCCCCUUCUGCUCACUGAUAUAUGGGAAGGUUUGGCCAAAGGUGGGCAACUGGUGGGGAGAAGGAUAAGGGAAUUCAGGGGAUGGCUGAGCCCAUUCUCUACUUUAGACAGUGCUGCUGGCACUGGCUCUGUCUUCUCUGUUUCCAUCUCCCAUCAGACGGUUCUUCCCUCUAUGGGCCUAGUGCUAGCUGGACACCUUCCAGUUGGAUUCCCGUUCUGGGGAUGUUCCCUCCUCCAGGGAUCUAAGUCCUUCCCAAUGUCUUCAGCUCCUGGGCUCAGCUAGAGCCAUCUUUUCCCAUUGUCCCUGUGGUGCUAGGGCUUUCAGUGGUUAUUAACGUCUGUGUUGUAUCAUCUUGCCUGAAUUUCAGCUCUCUGUAACCAGUUCCCCAAACAAAAUUCUCCCCAUUUACCUAC